rnacentral:rRNA from 1 species
AACGAACGCUGGCGGCAGGCUUAACACAUGCAAGUCGAACGCCCCGCAAGGGGAGUGGCAGACGGGUGAGUAACGCGUGGGAAUCUACCGUACCCUACGGAACAACAGUUGGAAACGACUGCUAAUACCGUAUACGCCCUUAGGGGGAAAGAUUUAUCGGGGAAUGAUGAGCCCGCGUUGGAUUAGCUAGGUGGUGGGGUAAAGGCCUACCAAGGCGACGAUCCAUAGCUGGUCUGAGAGGAUGAUCAGCCACAUUGGGACUGAGACACGGCCCAAACUCCUACGGGAGGCAGCAGUGGGGAAUAUUGGACAAUGGGCGCAAGCCUGAUCCAGCCAUGCCGCGUGAGUGAUGGAGGUCUUAGGAUUGUAAAGCUCUUUCACCGAUGAAGAUAAUGACGGUAGUCGGAGAAGAAGCCCCGGCUAACUUCGUGCCAGCCGCCGCGGUAA